UCUUACAGAAUUUGCAAUUGCAAGUAGAUGCAGAAUCUCUUCGUAAAGAACUAGAGCAAAAACAUAAUUUGUUAGAAGAAGCUCUAGGAACUUUGGAGAAAUUAGAAAAUAAUCACAAACAAGAAAUUCAUUCCAUCAAAACUAAGAACAACAAUGAGAAGACUCUCUUAGA